rnacentral:lncRNA from 1 species
CUGGAACAGAUGGGAUCUGCGGGAUCCUGGUCCAGCUUGGGGUAGGGUGGGGAGGGGAGGUUCUCUGAGGAAGGAAGGCCUUCUCUGAGGAUUUUAGUGUUGCAGCUCUUGUAGGUGAUACUCAAUGAAACAGCUCUCUUAGAGAAUCUUCAGUAAAAUAGCUGCUGUGCAUACACUGUAUACAAGGGCUACAUAUGAACCUUGGAGAGUGGAGAUUUCUGGGUGAAUAUAAAAGGCGAUGGCUGAAGCUUAAGUCCUGUGAAUGCCUCAUUUGUCUGGAGAUGCGUUCCGAGAAUCUCAGACAGUCUCUCACUAAACCUGGAGCUUGUGGAUUUUGCUAGACUGACUGACAAUCAAGCCCCUGUGUCCUUCUGCCUCUGCCUCCCCAGAGCUGAGGUUACAGGUGCAAGCCAUGAUGCCAGACUCUGUAAGUGACUGCUGAAGUUCAACUCAGAUCUUCAUGUUUGACUGUCAUCUCCCAGGCUACACUCCUUGAACUAAGUCAGGCUACAGAGGCUGCAUUUCCUAGAGACAUCUGGUCAACCUCACAUCCAUGGAGUAGAGAGCAGAGAACACUCCUUAGAGAAAAGGGACCUGAGUUCAAGUGGGUUCCAGUCUGAAUCCCAGACUGAACAGCUUUCGUAUUUUUCAAUUAGUCUGGAGCUUUUCAUACCUGUAAAUUCUGCUUCUGGAAUAGUCUUCCACCUAGUACGUCAGCUUUUCCCAAGGAGAGUGCCUUCCCCACCUGCAUACUUCCUUUUCUGAGAAGUGUCUAAUUUCUAUGUUGCAACAAAUAUGUACUCAGUGAUAAGUGGAUAUUAGCCCAGAAACUUAGGAUACCCAAGAUAUAAGAUACAACUUGCCAAACGCAUGAAAUUCAAGAAGAACGAAGACCAAAGUGUGGACACUUUACCCUUUCUUAGAAAUGGGAACAAAACACCCAUGGAAGGAGUUACAGACACAAAAUUUCAAGCUGUGAAGAAAGGAUGGACCAUCUAGUGAUUGCCAUAUGCAGGGAUCCAUCCCAUAAUCAGCUUCCAAAUGC